GAUGAACGCUGGCGGCGUGCCUAAUACAUGCAAGUCGAACGGUCCGCAAGGAUAGUGGCGAACGGGUGAGUAACGCGUUGGUGACCUGCCCUGGAGAGGGGGAUAACAGACCGAAAGGUCUGCUAAUACCGCAUGAGUUCACGGGAGUUAGAGAGCCGUGAACAAAGGAGCAAUCCACUUUGGGAGGGACCUGUGACCCAUCAGCUAGUUGGUAAGGUAACGGCCUACCAAGGCGACGACGGGUAGGGGGCCUGAGAGGGUGGCCCCCCACACUGGCACUGAAACACGGGCCAGACACCUACGGGUGGCAG
rnacentral:rRNA from 1 species